CAGAGUUGCAAGACUCCCUAAACCAUUGUGAACCUACCUUCUACCGUUGCUUCGGCGGGCGGGCCCAGCGCCCCCCCGGCCCCCCGCGGGCGCCCGCCGGAGGAUACCCAAACUCUUUGACAUUAGUGGCCUCUCUGAGUAUUCUUUACUGAAUAAGUC
rnacentral:misc_RNA from 1 species